UUUAGGUUUUUUUAGCUUUAAGUUUUGAGAUUAUUUUUUAGUGUUUAGGGUUGGUAGAGUUUUAGGAUUAGAUGAGAUUUAUGGUUAGGUUUAGGUAGGGUUUUAGGGUUAGGUUUAGGUAGGGUUUUAGGGUUAGGUUUAGGCAGGGUUUAGGGUUUAGGGUUAGGUAGGGUUUUUAGGGCUAGGUAGGGUUUUUAGGGUUAGGCAGGGUUUAGGGUUAGGUAGGGUUUAGGGUUAGAGAUGGUUAUUGACAAAUAAAUGUUUGAGAACUUUAAUUUUUUUUUUUUUGAGAUUCUACUGCUAUAAUAGUUUAAGGGUUUUUGAAA
rnacentral:lncRNA from 1 species